AUGAUCAUUCAGAACCACAAAAACUGCUAUGUUGACACUUUUUCCUUCCUUUUUCAGACCAUAGCACUAGUUGGAGAAAGUGGUAGUGGCAAGUCCACUAUAAUUGCUUUACUGGAACGCUUCUAUGAUCCUGAUUCUGGUAGAAUCUCAGUAGAUGGAGUCGAAAUUAAGAGCUUGAGAAUUAGCUGGUUGAGGGAUCAGAUGGGGCUGGUAGGCCAGGAGCCAGUACUUUUCAAUGACACAAUCCGUGCAAACAUAACAUAUGGGAAACACGGAGAAGUGACAGAGGAAGAAGUCACGGCUGUGGCCAAGGCAGCAAAUGCUCAUGAGUUCAUAUCAAGCUUGCCACAGGGAUACGACACUCUGGUUGGUGAGAAAGGCGUGCAACUAUCUGGUGGACAGAAGCAGAGGGUAGCUAUCGCAAGGGCCAUUAUAAAGGACCCGAAGAUACUACUACUUGAUGAGGCAACCAGUGCCCUGGAUGCGGAAUCGGAGCACAUUGUUCAAGAUGCAUUGGAUCGAGUCAUGGUGAGCAGGACCACCAUAGUGGUGGCUCACCGCCUCUCCACAAUCAAAGGGGCUGAUAUGAUUGCAGUCCUCAAGGAAGGCAAAAUUGCAGAAAAGGGCAAGCAUGAGGCCCUGAUGCGAAUCAAGGGUGGAGUCUAUGCUUCACUAGUAGAACUCCGCUCAAAUUCCGAGUAG
rnacentral:rRNA from 1 species